GCAUGAUAUGAUCUAGGGUUAAGGACCUCAUCAUGGGUCUAUGGACUAGAUAAUCUUCCUCUGGAUUGGAAGAUUUCCCCUUGUUAUUGUUCUUCCCCCCCUUCUAGAGGAACCUAUGCUGCUACUUUUGAAGAUUCGUACCUCGAAUUUAAUUUAAUGAGAGAUCUUCCAAUCUCAAGAGUAUUGAUAAAUAUUCUGCUUAAUUUUAUUAAUUUGAUCCAAAUGACAUAUAUAGGAUGUUCUCACCGUCUAACAACAGCUAUAACCAUAAUAGGAGUUUUUGCUAAAUAAGAAAACAUGUAACUACAACAAAAAUUAAAGCAAU
rnacentral:misc_RNA from 1 species